AGGAAUGCAAUGUUACCAUGGUUACAUUAUGGCUCGCGCUACAGAAGAGAAGAAUAAAGUGAAGAAGAAAAAGGUAAGAGUAUCAAUAUAUUAUUAUUCCUGUAAUUCAGGCAAAAACCGACGCCACCUUCAAGACAGUUGUUUUAGGCGACAAGUUGUUAAACUUGGCAAGUUGACUUGUUUGAUACAGGAAUACAGGAUGACAAGUUGUUGGAUCUGCUACUCGUCAUCUCAUCUUUGUGCCAUAAACAAACCGUUCUGUCAAGUUUAAACACUCGUCUUCUCGUCAUUUAACCUGUCUUCUGCUCCUCUUAUCUCGUCGUUUACGUUGGCACAUAUUAUUAUGCUUCAGUAUAUGCAUUCACGUGAAGAAGUUAGGGAAUAAAAAUACCACUGUCACUGCAGCAGUAGGCAGUGAAGGUUUAUUAUUUUAUAUUUACAUGUUUUUGAUUAAUUAAGUUUUUCAUUCUUAAAAUGAUAUUGAUUUAGUGUUUGUCCUUAUAACUUGCUUUCAGUCUACAGAUUUUGAUCAUGUUUAGAUAUUGAAAUUAGUCUUAUUGGAAUAUAUAUCUAGUAGGCAUAUAUAAUAUUUUCUUGUACAUAAAACUUUUCAUAUAGUAUUCAAUAUGCUUACAUGUAGUAGAUAUAUACUUGUACAUAAUUCAGUGUUAUAAGAACUAUACACUCUGAUUAAAGAGAACUAUGUUCUCUGUGAAGGUUCUAUUCAUUCCCAGAGGAGCAAUUGUCUGGACCUUCAGACCCUUAGUACACAAACUUGGCCACAGUAAUUGUAGAACAAUGACCCCCUUUCAAUUUGUGCAACCCCUUUUCUAUAGCUUCAACUUGUACUGGUAGAGCUUGGCUUGGGUUUUUAGCUUUUUUGAGAAAGCCAAGUCAUUACAUUUCGGAAAGCAAGCAAGUUAACAUCAUAUUUUAGACACCUCAAAUAUUUAGUUCGAUCUUUCGAUACCUUCGAUUCAGUUUCAACAGUUCAAAGCCUCAAAUUGUAUUCUAUCAACCUACUAUCUACAUCUGUAACUACUACCUACAUCUGUAUCUACUUUACUUGAUGUUACAUGAGAGAUUUGCAAUUAAAUUCGAAUCGUCAU